CGGAGGGAUCAUUGCUGGAACGCGCUUCGGCGCACCCAGAAACCCUUUGUGAACUUAUACCUAUUUGUUGCCUCGGCGUAGGCCGGCCUCUUCACUGAGGCCCCCUGGAAACAGGGAGCAGCCCGCCGGCGGCCAACUAAACUCUUGUUUCUAUAGUGAAUCUCUGAGUAAAAACAUAAAUGAAUCAAAACUUUCAACAACGGAUCUCUUGGUUCUGGCAUCGAUGAAGAACGCAGCGAAAUGCGAUAAGUAAUGUGAAUUGCAGAAUUCAGUGAAUCAUCGAAUCUUUGAACGCACAUUGCGCCCUCUGGUAUUCCGGAGGGCAUGCCUGUUCGAGCGUCAUUUCAACCCUCAAGCCUGGCUUGGUGAUGGGGCACUGCCUUCUAACGAGGGCAGGCCCUGAAAUCUAGUGGCGAGCUCGCUAGGACCCCGAGCGUAGUAGUUAUAUCUCGUUCUGGAAGGCCCUGGCGGUGCCCUGCCGUUAAACCCCCAACUUCUGAAAAUUUGACCUCGGAUCAGGUAGGAAUACCCGCUGAACUUAAGCAUAU
rnacentral:rRNA from 1 species